rnacentral:rRNA from 1 species
GUCAGAGUUUGAUCCUGGCUCAGGAUGAACGCUAGCGGCAGGCUUAACACAUGCAAGUCGAGGGGUAUUGGUUUUCGGACCAAGAGACCGGCGCACGGGUGCGUAACGCGUAUGCAAUCUACCUUUUGCAGAGGGAUAGCCCAGAGAAAUUUGGAUUAAUACCUCAUAGUAUUUUCGAAUCGCAUGAUUUGAUUAUUAAAGUUCCAACGGUAAAAGAUGAGUAUGCGUCCCAUUAGCUAGUUGGUAAGGUAACGGCUUACCAAGGCUACGAUCAGUAGCUGGUCUGAGA